AUUUAUAAAGUUUUUAAAACAUUUCAUUUUCGUUGAAAAGACGAGAAAAUUUAUCUCUAUAAAUG
rnacentral:tRNA from 1 species